UACGUAGGGGGCAAGCGUUGUCCGGAAUCAUUGGGCGUAAAGCGCGUGUAGGCGGUCCGGUAAGUCCGCUGUGAAAGUCGGGGGCUUAACCCUCGGAUGCCGGUGGAUACUGUCGGGCUUGAGUACGGAAGAGGCGAGUGGAAUUCCUGGUGUAGCGGUGAAAUGCGCAGAUAUCAGGAGGAACACCAAUUGCGAAGGCAGCUCGCUGGGACGUUACUGACGCUGAGGCGCGACAGCGUGGGGAGCAAACAGG
rnacentral:rRNA from 1 species